rnacentral:rRNA from 1 species
GGGUAUAGAAUAGAUAUUCCGAGCCAGAUAGAAUAGAACUGCGUCCGAGGUGUGAACAAGAAUAGGGCAAAGAAGAGGGGAAAGAGUAAGUAUGAGUUUCGUUUUAGGGGAAAAGAGAAAUAGACCAACUCUCGUAGGCGGGGCACGACGGAGGGACGGUGGAGGUUAGGGCGGCCCUCUCCUCGAGGAGACGGGGCUCGGAGGAGGUCGUCCUGUCGGUCAAUGGGCCUCAGUUUGUUGUUGGCGUCGGUGGGACGGAACCUCGAGCGGCGGAGGAUGGUGGAGAGGCAGCCUGAGCAAGAAGAGGCGGAGUUUAAGCAGACGGCGGUGGCCUAGGUGCGGUCUCGUCGGCCUAGGCGGCGGAGGACUGGGCGGACGGCAACCCUCGUCCUGCUGGCUCUCCAAGUGGGCAAGCAAACAGCGCACCCGGUGCGUCGACGGAGCCGGGUCGAACGGGCACUUCAGCAGCGGCAGGUAGAGGAGGGGGAGAGACGAGGAGAGAUAAAAGGGAAAAAACAAAGGAAGGAACAACAAGCAGUCGAGGGCUCAACCCGUAUAGUGCGUACGGCGAAUAAAACCUAGAAGGAAAUAAAGAGUACCGGUUUCUACUGGGUAUAUAGAGUAGGAGAAAAUCAACUACAGGACUGAAUCCGUCCACGCGGCCGUCCCUACCGCCAUCGCCGUGCGUCGCUGCAACCCCACCAGACCGCUACGCGUCACUCCGUCCGGCCCGCACCGUCCUCCACCCCUGCGCGACCUCCACUUCUAACUCGGCCCCGCACGCCCACCGACCCAAUACAAAAAAGAAAAGAAAGAAAAGAGAGGGUCAUGAGCAAGUCCAACUUAAUAGUGUUCCUAACGCCCAACUUAUAGGUUUUAGUAUCCCCGAAAAAACGUUUUUCCGGCCGCUGCAUGCUGGUCUUAGCGAGCGACCAAAUAAUCAU